GAUGAAGAACGCAGCGAAAUGCGAUAAGUAAUGUGAAUUGCAGAAUUCAGUGAAUCAUCGAAUCUUUGAACGCACAUUGCGCCCGCCAGUAUUCUGGCGGGCAUGCCUGUUCGAGCGUCAUUUCAACCCUCAAGCACAGCUUGGUGUUGGGACUCGCGUUAAUUCGCGUUCCCCAAAUUGAUUGGCGGUCACGUCGAGCUUCCAUAGCGUAGUAGUAAAACCCUCGUUACUGGUAAUCGUCGCGGCCACGCCGUUAAACCCCAACUUCUGAAUGUUGACCUCGGAUUAGGUAGGAAUACCCGCUGAACUUAAGCAUAUCAAUAAGCGGAGGA
rnacentral:misc_RNA from 1 species